CCAUGGGAAUCGAACUAGGGGUGC
rnacentral:sRNA from 1 species